GAUGAACGCUAGCUACAGGCUUAACACAUGCAAGUCGAGGGGAAACGACAUCGAAAGCUUGCUUUUGAUGGGCGUCGACCGGCGCACGGGUGAGUAACGCGUAUCCAACCUGCCCAUCACUUGGGAAUAACCUUGCGAAAGUAAGACUAAUACCCAAUGAUAUCCCACGAAGGCAUCGGAAUGGGAUUAAAGAUUUAUCGGUGAUGGAUGGGGAUGCGUCUGAUUAGCUUGUUGGCGGGGUAACGGCCCACCAAGGCAACGAUCAGUAGGGGUUCUGAGAGGAAGGUCCCCCACAUUGGAACUGAGACACGGUCCAAACGCCCACGGGAGGCAGCAGUGAGGAAUAUUGGUCAAUGGGCGAGAGCCUGAACCAGCCAAGUAGCGUGCAGGAAGACGGCCCUAUGGGUUGUAAACUGCUUUUAUAAGGGAAUAAAGUGGGUCACGUGUGACUUUUUGCAUGUACCUUAUGAAUAAGGACCGGCUAAUUCCGUG
rnacentral:rRNA from 1 species